AGGAAAUGUUUGGGUAGGCACAUGGAGGGGUAAUGGAGUAGCCAUGCAGCCCUCAAUUGGGAGGGGGGAAUUUAUUCAGCUCUUUUUUAAAGUUGAUAUUAUCUAUUUAAAGUGAACAAGGAAAUCAGAGUGACUUAAGGACCAUUACCGUUGAACAAAGGUGGAAAUCAAGACCGGAUUACUAUUUACCAAUACUACAUCCGGUCAAGCUGGCGGCUGCAGUACACAAGUUUGAUGCCCACCAGCCCACUGUUGUGGUGGAGGCAGGACAGACCUCUACCAAGCCUGGAUACUCUGCUGCUCCUGCUGAAGAGAUACCAAUGGGCAGAUAUUUCAACAUCUACAGUUUCAGGUCAAGCUGUGAACACAUCUUCCCUAAUAGUGUGGAAUACAGUCAAAAGACCAUGACAGAGGCUCUGAAGAAAGUGGAAGAGAUUGACGCAAAUAUGGGAGGGACUGAGAUCCUUGAACUCUGAAAGACAUUACAGUCAGGCUUGCAUUCCCAAUCAACCCAGACCAAUAAAAUAAUAAAAGAUAAA